AUGUUCACAUUAGCAACACAUGCAAAAUUGGAACAAUACAGAGAAGAUUAGCAUGGUCCUGUGCAAGGAUAACAUGCAAAUUCAUGAAGCAUUCCUUAUUUUU